rnacentral:lncRNA from 1 species
CAACAUACAAGAAAUUCCAACGGGGAUUGCACGGCUCUAUUUAAGAACUGGAAGUUCUGGAAACACUGCCCACCCCCACCAUAGCAGCAAGCAGUGAAGCUGAAGGGAGCUACUCUCAUUCAUUCUGGAGCUGGACUGAGUCCCUCACACCCAGCCUCACAGCUUCCUGCAUAUACUUCACUACCUGCGGACCGGAGCGGGAAGAAGGUCUCUUUGUUACUACGAUGCUCCCCGAUACUCAGUACAUCUGUAGGAGACACUGGAUGGGAUGUGCCCUUCUAGACUGCAGUUGUAAGUCUCAACAUCAGGCUGAACUCCACAUCGAGUUUUCCAUCACAACGACCAAAUGCACCUUGAGCCAUCCUGAGCCAGUGGCGGCCUCCGACUGGAGCAUCCUCUGUCUUCAAGGACCUUAUGCCAGUUACCUCCUAUCUGGACACCAUGGAAUCUACAAUACCUUUCCCUGAAAGCUGCAGCAUGGGUAGAAGUGUGCUGGGGACACAGAAUGCUUUGCUAUCUCGUAGUUUAUCUUAAGUGGAAUUAUUUGCUUACCUUUGCAGCCACUGGGCUAUAAGCUUCUCAUGAAUACACAAUGACUUGUUCAUCAGUAUAUCAUGGGAUCUAACAAAUACACACUCAGUAAAUAUUAGAUUAAUACAUGAAUGUCUACAGUCACAUUUGAUUUCACUGUUGCGAACUGUGAAAACCUUAGCAAGUACAAUUGCUAUCAGCAUCAUGGACACUGUGUAGAGAAUGUAGGUCACUUCUGGUCAGUUAAAUUCGUGCAUAUUUAUGAGACAGAGAGGGAGAGAGAAGGAGGGAGGGGUAAAAUUAAAAUAAUAUAUGUAUAGAGACCUUGUUUGAUAUGUGUAUCAAAUAUUAUAUUAAAAUCUACUAUUUGAGCUAUUGCAAUAGAUAAAAUAGUUGUAGGUUAAUUCUAACUCUGAACUUUGGAUGUAUGCUAUGCACAUUACAGUUCCCAAAUUAUUGGCUUUAAUUAUAACAUAGAAGAUUCUAAAACUAAAGUAAAUAUUACAUGAAUUCAUAAUAUAAUAUACUCAAAUAGCGUGAGACCGUAUAUUUUAAAACAGGUAUUUAUUGCUUAAUAAUAGUAUUCCUGAUCAGGUUUCUGUCAGGACUAAACUGAAACUAGUAUAAUAAUAUGUCUGCUUUAUGGAGGAGGAUUGAUAAACUAUUUUUAUGAUUGAUGAUAAAUUUGAGCUAUCGGUGGCUCACGCCUGUAACCCCAGCACUUUGGCAGGCUGAGGCGGGUGGAUCACAAGGUCAAGAGAUCGAGACUGUCCUGGUCAACAUGGUGAAACCCCAUCUCUAUUAAAAAUAGAAAAAAUUAGCUGGGCAUGGUGGUGCGUGCCUGUAAUCCCAGCUACUCAGGAGGCUGAGGCAGGAGAAUUGCCUGAACCCAGGAGGCGGAGGUUGCGGUGAGCUGAGAUCACACCAUCGCACUCCAGCCUGGGUAACAAGAGCGAAACUCCGUCUCAAAAAAAAAAAAAAAAAUUGAGCUAUCUUCCUAAAAAACAGAUUAUUUAGCCACACAGUGAUGCUCCCAAAGAACAUAUUUGCAUGAUCCUCAAGUUCACUACCAGAAAGACACUAAAUAAUAAUAAAGUCACAAAGCCAGGGAAAGGCAUUUUAAAUUGCCAUGUAUUAAUAAUUUGCACUGAGAACUUUGAGAAUUACAAUAGAGCUGAGCUUUCGUCAUCCUUCUGGGGUAAGAAUGGAAAUAAUUAGGAAGGCUUCCAACAGUCUGUGCCUGUAAAAGUUUAGUGCCCUAAAUGGGAGAGAACACGGAGAGUUGUUUAAUGGCUUCGUGAACAGAGUUUCACCCUCUGACACAAACUGGGUCUCUGCUGAUGAAAAUCGAAGGUCCUUCUGCAAAGAGCAUUUAGAUGCUUGCGUACUUUUCACUUGCUUGGACAAAUCGUAUUGCUAAGUAGUGAUGCACCUGCCUUACAUCACUCGGCCUUUCUCAUCUGUUAUUCAUUUAGAAGCAAACUGGAAAUCUCUUCCAAGUGAGCAGAAAGACAACAUUUCAAACGUUUAUAUUAAUUUUAUAGUAUUAUAACUUUCCCAUGUUACAUAUGGAAAUCAUAUUAAAUAUAUAUAUGUGUGUAUAGUCAAGGCAGAAUCCUGAUUAUAUUUGAAAAACAGUCAUUCAGUUGUCAGAGUCCUGAACCUCAUCGUCAGUCUGAAUUUCUGAAAUAUAUCACUGUAGCUCCCACUGAAUUAUAUACGUCUUUAAGAUAUUUUCCACUGAACAUGUCUACAGAAUUUUUAUUUUAUUACGGUAAAUAAAACCCCUCAUCUGCAGUUUUGCUUUUUGAGGUUUCAGUUACCAGAGGUCAGCCAUGGGCUGGAAUAGGUCAGUACAGUACAAUAGCAUACUUUGAGAGAGGGAGAUCACAUUCUCUAAUUUUUAUUGCACUUUAUGUUAUAAUCGUCCAAUUUAUUAGAUCCUGUCAGUCUCCUGUGCCUAAUUUGUAAAUUAAACUUUAUCAUAGGUAUGUACGUAUGAGAAAAACACAGUACAUGUAAGGUUCAGUACGGUCCGAGAUCUCAGACAUGGAUAAGAGGGGGCACUGUAUCUACUCCAAAAUGAUAUUUUCCAGGACUGGGAAGAACGAAACCAACUUGAGUUAAUGUAGGGAAACCACUCUCUUGAACAUUUGCUUAUCUGCUUUUUCGCACCAUUGGCAACUUCGGAGGUGUGCUCCAGGUUUGUGAGCAAGAGGACAAUAAAAUCAAUUCCAACUAGUACUUGACGUAACUCACACCCAACCUGGAAAGCUUAUGAAGAGCAUCCAGUCACCCAGAGCAAGGCCUGCAGCUGCUAAGGGACCUUUUCUGAGCAGUAGGUUCACCCCCAAGUCUACUGAAACCGGAUUCCGAAAGGCGUUUGUUACCGUGUGUAAUUCACUCAGCACACUCAGCAGCUCAGAUCCCUGAAGAACGAGGCAUUUUUAAAAGUCUUAAAAUCACUAUUCAUUCAAACUCACAAUGCCUGCAAUUUGACUGUUACACUUUAAGCUCUCUAAUAAGUUUGCGUGAUGUGCAGAAUGUUCAGAUUUAUUGCAAAUAUUUAAAAGUUGCAGAAAGCCUUUCCACAUGUCCUCAAAAACAGGACAAGGCAAUUUUGUAGAACCACUUCAGUAACUUUCAGGAAGGCACUUACUGAAAAUAUUCAGGUUGAGAAUUGUUCCUGUGCUUUUCUAACAAAGACUAGUCUCAAGUACAUGAGCGUAUCCUUCCUUUCUUCUUUCUUCUGAAAAAUAUAGGUAGGGAGAUGAACACUUGACCCUCAACAAACUCCGUGUGUGUGUGCAUGUGCAUAAAUUUUAGAAACACACGUUGGUUUUAGUUUCUGGACGUAACUAAACUGUUGAAAUCAGUAAGUGAUUCAGAGGCAUUCUUGUCUGACACGUGAUGUCAACUGAAAGCUUACUGGAUUCAGCCAGUCUUCAAGGAAACACAAACACACGUGUGAAAACACACUAAGCGAAAGAGAAGAAAAGAAGCAAAAGCAAAGGAACAGCAGCAAUGGAUUUUUCUAUUUCCCACAUAAAUUAAUCAGUUACUGUAGAGUGCCUAAUCCUUCUUUGGAUAGUAAGUCUCAUAAUUCCAAUAAAGUCUUUAUUUCACUAUGAGAUCUGUUACUAUUUUCAGAAUUUACCGAGAUUUUGCAGUGCUGCUUUCUCUUGCUACUUCUUGAACAUGACUUGUUUAUGGCCUCUCUAUUAAAUUUCUUAUAUUUCAAAUAUGUAGGUCAUUAACAUUCAACUGAUACCUGACCAAAAUCUCUAAGUGUGAUUGUCUACAGGACUAAGAAUUGUACCUAUUCUAGUUCAAUUAUUUUUCACAGUAUAGGACCCAUGGGAUCUUUGUUAUUGCAUUUCUUCCAAAAUUAUGAACAAAAUGGCUUGAGAGUUCUUGUUAGUCCAGUUUUAAGAGCUGUCAGUGUUUUAUAACUACUGAUUCUCUGCCUUUCUAUUGCUCCUGAAUAGCUUCAGAGCAUACUCAGGAAUAUCAUCCUUCUCUUACUUCUGAGUUAGAACUGACUGAACAAAGAGCUACACAAACACUAAAAUGCUCCUUUUUUUUUUGAGAUGGAAUCUUGCUCUGUCACCCAAGCCGGAGUACAGUGGCGCGAUUUCAGCUCACCGUAACCUCUGCCUCCCAGGUUCCAGUGAUUCUCCUGCCUCAGCCUCCUCAAAAGCUGGGAUUAAAGGCAUGCACCACCACAUCCUGCUAAUUUCUGUUUUUUUAGUAGAGAAGAAGUUUUACCAUGUUCCCCAGGCUGGUCUCAAACUCCUGACCUCGUGAUCUGCCUGCCUCACCUUCCCAAAGUGCUGGAAAUACAGGCGUAAGUCAGCCCGCCUGACUAAAAUGCUCCCCGAGGCUAAAAACACUUCCCACCAUGUUGCCCUGAAGCUAAAAUAAACUUCCUUAGCAG